rnacentral:rRNA from 1 species
UAGUACGGCGAGUGAAGCGGCAAGAGCUCAAAUUUGAAAGCUGGCUCCUUCGGGGUCCGCAUUGUAAUUUGCAGAGGAUGCUUCGGGAGCGGUCCCCGUCUAAGUGCCCUGGAACGGGCCGUCAUAGAGGGUGAGAAUCCCGUAUGGGACGGGGUGUCCGCGCCCGUGUGAAGCUCCUUCGACGAGUCGAGUUGUUUGGGAAUGCAGCUCUAAAUGGGUGGUAAAUUUCAUCUAAAGCUAAAUAUUGGCCGGAGACCGAUAGCGCACAAGUAGAGUGAUCGAAAGAUGAAAAGCACUUUGAAAAGAGAGUUAAAAAGCACGUGAAAUUGUUGAAAGGGAAGCGCUUGCGACCAGACUCGCCUACGGGGUUCAGCCGGCAUUCGUGCCGGUGUACUUCCCCGUGGGCGGGCCAGCGUCGGUUUGGGCGGCCGGUCAAAGGCCCCCGGAAAUGUACGCCUCUCGGGGCGUCUUAUAGCCGGGGGUGCAAUGCGGGCUGCCUGGGGACGAGAACGCGCUUCCGCACGGACGCUGGCAUAAUGGUCGUAAGCGACCCGUCUUGAAAC